GCACCCGUAGCUCAGUUGGAUAGAGCAAUACCCUCCGGAGGUAAAGGUCUCAGGUUCAAAUCCUGUCGGGUGCA
rnacentral:tRNA from 1 species